CCUCAUUCCCCCAUGCAGCUAAGCCAACCCAAGCUAAGCACUCAAAACAUUCUUCUUAAUGCCCUUUGGGCUUGAACUGAAGUCUCCUCUCGGAUCUGAAGCAUGGAGUCUUGUGUACCUGCAUUCCACCAGCAAGCUCUCCUUGGUGACCAGUGGAGACUCCACCAGGAGACUCCAGGCCCAGAGAAACAGGAAAACCAGGUGGAGUGAACACCAUAGCAUCAGACAUAUGAUAUCAGGACAAGGUGCAAUGACUAAUGACACCAUGCCGUGGCAAUGACCAAUCAGUGGAGACCACGAUCCGGUAGAGACCACGAUCUGGAGGAGACACAUCUGGACAGCUGAUGAAUAUCCUCUCAGUAGUCUGCUGACAAAAGCCCUCAGGC